AUGAACAAAGCUGGACGACUUGCGCUUGUCAAGUCGGUACUCAACGCCAUACCUAUCCACCAACUCCUCGUGCUCGCGCCCCCAAAGAAAACCUUAAAGCAGCUCGAGAAGAUCCAGCGCGGGUUCCUAUGGGCCGGCCGUGUGGAUGCUCUCGGUGGUCACUGCCACGUGAAUUGGCGCCGGGUUUGCCACCGCUUGAGUAUGGUGGGCUGGGCGUCCGGGACCUGGAGCGCACUGGACUCUCACUACGGUUCCGCUGGCUAUGGCUAG
rnacentral:rRNA from 1 species